GCAGAUCCUUUUUACAGCUAAGGAAACUGAGGCACAAAGAGGUUGACAGCACACUUGCCCCAAAGCGCAGGUAUUUACAGCAUGCCCUCAGGCUACCCAGAACCGGUGUUUGCUAAAGAUGACAGUCCACUGGAAGACUCUCUUACUGUUGCUAAACCUUGUGCUGCAUAUUGUUGUCUAUACUGAGACCCAAACUCACUCUGGAUCCUGGAACUCAUUCACUGAAACUUCUUCCCUUUCCUCAUCCAAAUGAGUGUUUUGUUAGGAAACGU
rnacentral:lncRNA from 1 species